GACGAACGCUGGCGGCGUGCUUAACACAUGCAAGUCGAACGGAAAGGCCCUGCUUGCAGGGUACUCGAGUGGCGAACGGGUGAGUAACACGUGGGUGAUCUGCCCUGCACUUCGGGAUAAGCUUGGGAAACUGGGUCUAAUACCGGAUAGGAACCAUCUUUAGUGUGGUGGUUGGAAAGUUUUUUCGGUGUAGGAUGAGCUCGCGGCCUAUCAGCUUGUUGGUGGGGUAAUGGCCUACCAAGGCGGCGACGGGUAGCCGGCCUGAGAGGGUGUACGGCCACAUUGGGACUGAGAUACGGCCCAGACUCCUACGGGAGGCAGCAGUGGGGAAUAUUGCACAAUGGGCGCAAGCCUGAUGCAGCGACGCCGCGUGGGGGAUGAAGGGCUUCGGGUUGUAAACUCCUUUCGCUAGGGACGAAGCUUUUUGUGACGGUACCUAGAUAAGAAGCACCGGCUAACUACGUG
rnacentral:rRNA from 1 species